ACGCUCGACACCUACAGGCAGCAGUGGGGAAUAUUGCACAAUGGGGGAAACCCUGAUGCAGCGACGCCGCGUGAAGGAAGAAGUAUCUCGGUAUGUAAACUUCUAUCAGCAGGGAAGAAAAUGACGGUACCUGACUAAGAAGCCCCGGCUAACUACGUGCCGGCAGCCGCGGUAAUCUGAGCGGGCUGGCAAGGC
rnacentral:rRNA from 1 species